CUCUUUACACACAGGCACACACACGAACACUCACACACACCCGGACUGACUCCUUCCCUCACACGCCUACUAUCCACUUUCGCCUGAGACCGCAGCCAGCACAGGGCUCAGUUUUUUAUUUUAUUUUUUAUUUGCUUUGCUUGCUUUGGGUCUUUCCCUCUUGUACAGUGAGACGAGUCCCAUUUCACCCCUCCUCUGCAUAGAGAGCGCCCCUGAAAACAUAGGCCCUGGAUUGUCCCUGCAUCAGACUGCAUGCUACCAAUUGAUUUGUGCAUCUACUCCUCCCUAUUAUUUUAGCUCUUUAUAAAAAAAAUUGCUCUCUACCUUUAAUGUAAAAUUCGGUUCAUUUUGAGUAAUUUCUUCACAUACCCAUUCUGGAAGAGAGGACGAAGAAAAGAAGAAAACGCUCACGGAAUGGACAGAUGAAAGGGGACAGCAGAAAAAAAGAGUGAGAAAAUGGAGAGCAUGUUCUGUGGGAGAGCAAGAGAGGAAUGCUGUGGUCUACUCUUGUCUUGAGUCCGUGGAAACUUCCCACUAAGGAGGAACAAUGGAAAGAAUUUCAAUCCAGCCUCAGUAAGAUUCCCAGUGUAUAAUAGUGAGGAGGGUGGCGGUCCAACAGAAUGUGAGGUAACAUCUCUGGCAAGUUUGGAGGUUUAGUGAUGAGCCAUUAUGAGGUGGAGCCGUUCACCAACCCAACCCAACACACAACACAAUUAUAUGGUAUCCAAAGUAGUGGCAGAUUGACUCUUUCUUUCAGGGAUCGUCAUAAGUAAGUUUCCCAUUAAGUGCUGUUCGCCGUUUCGCUAUAAAAGCCUUUAUACACCUCCC
rnacentral:lncRNA from 1 species